CAACAAUAUUAUUAAUAUUUUUAAAAACGAAAAAAAAAAAAAAAUAGCGCAUUAGCAAAAAUUAAGCCGAAACAACACUCAAAACAAACACAAGCCAAAAAAAAAAUAAUAAUAAUAAUCAAAGCCGAUUAAAACACCCAAUGGCAAGACACACGUAAUAAAAGGGAAAAAGAAGGGAAUUUCUAAGCCACUCUCAAAAAAAAAAAUUAAACCUAAUUAAAGGCAGAACGCAGACUGAGGGGUUGGGCAGCAGCAAGCACCAGAAGCAAAGGCAGACAAGCACAGUAGCACACCACGCCUGACGCCACCAGCCACCACCAGUCCACCGCAGACCGCCCUGCCCCUGUCAGAACAAGCCUGAGAAUUUGAAGAGAGACAGAGACUAAAGAGAAAGAGUGAAAGAAAGAACCAGAGACAAAGAGUUUUUAUAUACAGGUUUGUCUUCUUGUAAGACAUAUUCGGCUCUCUCAAAAUGUUUACAGGACCGUCGCCUCAAGAAAACAUUCUUCCCAUUUCAAUCAACGAUGAGCUUCCGAAUUCUGAUUCCUCAAGCCCCUUCAGGAGAACAAUCAUUUACUUCAACUGCGUCUUUUCACUGUUAAUUAUUUCAUUUUUGUUUUUUCUUCCGGACGGGUUACUAGUUCCAGUCCUCUUCAAAGACCAACCAACAUACUAUUGUAUGUUACUAAUUUACAUAGGGUUCGCUGUGGGUUUCUUUCGUGCGGUGAUCAUCGAACACACGCCCGAGCCAAUGCCAAAGGAUGUAAGAGCAUUGAGUAUUGUUACCGCGUUCUCCAUGUUAACACAAGUAAUUGUAAUACUCCUGUGUCUUGCUAGGUUAUAAUGAACAUGGUUUUUCUUUUUCUUUUUUUAAUUAUUUAUAAGGAAAAAAAAAAAAUUCUUAGAAUGGUUCCUAUAUAUGGAAU